AUGAACCAUGUAUAUUUGAUUUGCGGUCAUUCAAAGAGAAAACUAACCCCAAAAGGGCAAUUCUGUAGCUCCCCCAUAAGAGUACCUCUUGCUUUCUGGGAUGAAGUGUAAGUAUAGCUCAUGAACAUGGGCUUCACCAUGGGGAAACAACAGUUUGCACUUUUGUUCUAUCUGAAAGCAAGAAAAGCAUGUUUACUAGCUAGAGAAAAGGCAUAAACAAGCUCAGUCAAAGACUCUGUAGUAGGCUGAGCAUCUGAACCCACCAGGCAUGUAAGGACCUGUGACCCAGCACCUGACUGGAAAUUAAAUCUGCUCGGGUCAAGAACAACUUAACAUUUGGGGGAGAGUUAAAAGAAUGAAUGGAGCAAAAUAUAAAUGAGCAAGAGAUGCUACGGUAAAACUAUGACUCUCUAGGUUAACCUUUUAACACAAGAGUUUGUUACUCUUCUUGCCUAGCUUUUCUCUGGCUUGGAACCUGAGAAAAUAAAUGUUUCAAUAACAUCAGUGGUUUCUGAGGGAGCUUUCUCCAUCCUUCUUAGCUGGCUGUUGGAAACCUGUGGGGGCACAGAGUAAAAUUAAGAGCUCAAAGGGACCUGUUCCAAACAGAAUUUGUCAUAGACACUUGCUACAGGUUCCCUCUGGGAGAUGGAGGAGGAGGAGGCGGUACAUCUAAAAAUUAACCCGACCUUAUUUGUGCCAGAACAAAGCAUUAGUGGGGGUAGGGUAGUAGAGGGAGGAGGGACGCUUAAAAAAAAAACCCAAAAACUGCUAGAGUGACAGAUAACUUGAGAGAAUUUCCUAAGAGG